CCUACGGGUGGCAGCAGUGAGGAAUAUUGGUCAAUGGCCGGAAGGCUGAACCAGCCAAGCCGCGUGAAGGACGAAGGUGCCAAGCAUUGUAAACUUCUUUUGUCAAGGGACAAACUCAGGCUCGAGAGCCUGACCGAGGGUACUUGAAGCAAAAGCAUCGGCUAACUCCGUGCCCGCAGCCGCGGUAAUCCGGAGGAUGCGAGCGUUAUCCGGAUUUAUUGGGGUUAAAGGGUGCGUAGGGGGACUGGAAAGUCAGCGGUAAAAUCGAGAGGCUAAACCUCUUUUCGCCGUUGAAACUGGCGGUCUUGAGUGGGCGAGAAGUAUGCGGAAUGCGUGGUGUAGCGGUGAAAUGCAUAGAUAUCGCGCAGAACUCCGAUUGCGAAGGCAGCAUACCGGCGCCCGACUGACGCUGAGGCACGAAAGCGUGGGUAUCGAACAGGAUUAGAUACCCCUGUAGUC
rnacentral:rRNA from 1 species